CUGAUAUUGCUUCUCUAAAAGCCUUAUACCAAACAGGUGUUGAUAACUGUGGUCGAACAGUGAUGGUGGUAGUUGGAAGAAACAUUCCUGUAACAUUAAUAGAUAUGGACAAGGCUCUCUUAUAUUUCAUUCAUGUAAUGGAUCACAUUGCUGUGAAGGAGUAUGUAUUAGUGUAUUUUCACACCCUGACCAGCGAAUACAAUCACCUGGACUCCGACUUCCUGAAGAAACUCUACGAUGUUGUUGAUGUCAAGUACAAGAGGAAUUUGAAGGCUGUUUAUUUUGUUCAUCCCACAUUUCGUUCAAAGGUGUCAACAUGGUUUUUUACCACCUUUUCUGUCUCAGGACUGAAGGACAAAAUCCACCAUGUGGACAGCCUCCACCAGCUGUUUUCUGCCAUAUCACCAGAACAGAUUGACUUUCCUCCUUUUGUCCUUGAAUAUGAUGCCAGGGAAAAGGAUUUGUCCCAAGAGAGGCAUUUUCCCCAGAUAAACGUUUCAGUAUCUCUCUGCUGAAAACGGGCCUUACUAUACAUCAUAUCCCCCAUCACCAGAUUUGUGACCUGCCAUCUUUCAGUGCUUCUUGGUUCCCAGGAUGCCACUUCCUCCACAAAUAGCUGCCUGUUGAAGUGAUAUUCAUUGUUGCUGUACAGAUCCAGAGAGCCUUUUGUCCCCAUCUCUCUGGUAUUUUUUUAUUGACUGUAUAUUUUCUGGCACAUAAGCAAUCUAAAAAUGGUAGGCCAUUCUGAACUGCACACAUUUUAAAUUUGUAUAUUUAUAUCAAAUGGAAAUGUUCAUUUUUAGAUUGUUAAUAGGAAUUGGGGAGCAACUUUUGAGUAUCUUUAGUUUCCUGAAGGACACCGAAUUCUCCAUUAGAUAAACCACCAAGACUGUUCACAUCAUCUCUCUAACAUUGCACGCUUCCUUUGUGUACUUAAGUGAUUCUC
rnacentral:sRNA from 1 species